UACGUAGGGGGCAAGCGUUAUCCGGAUUUACUGGGUGUAAAGGGAGCGUAGACGGCUGUGCAAGUCUGAAGUGAAAGGCAUGGGCUCAACCUGUGGACUGCUUUGGAAACUGUGCAGCUAGAGUGUCGGAGAGGUAAGUGGAAUUCCUAGUGUAGCGGUGAAAUGCGUAGAUAUUAGGAGGAACACCAGUGGCGAAGGCGGCUUACUGGACGAUGACUGACGUUGAGGCUCGAAAGCGUGGGGAGCAAACAGGAUUAGAUACCCCAGUAGUCGACGACU
rnacentral:rRNA from 1 species